rnacentral:rRNA from 1 species
UACGGAGGUGGCGAGCGUUGUUCGGAAUCACUGGGCUUAAAGCGCGUGUAGGCGGGACGGCAAGUGUCGGGUGAAAGCCCUCGGCUCAACCGAGGAAGUGCUUGGCAAACUGCCGCCCUUGAGGCAUGCAGAGGUCACUGGAACGACGGGUGGAGCGGUGAAAUGCGUAGAUAUCCGUUGGAACGCCGGCGGCGAAAGCGAGUGACUGGGCAUGUCCUGACGCUGAGACGCGAAAGCGUGGGUAGCAAACAGG